GGGCGUAAAGGGCACGUAGCGGACAAAUAAGUUUGAUGUCGAAAGUAUGAUGGCUCGAACCAUCAAGAGGCGUUGAAAACUGUUUAUCUAGAAUCUCGGAGACGGUAAGUGGAAUUCCAUCGUGUAGCGGUGGAAUGCGUAGAUAUAUGGAGGAACACCAAUGGCGAAGGCAGCUUACUGGACGAAGAUUGACGCUGAGGUGCGAAAGCGUGGGUAGCAAACAGGAUUAGAUACCCCUGGUAG
rnacentral:rRNA from 1 species